CUUCCUGAAACCAGCCUGCCUCUGUUGAAUCCUUAUCGAUGCCUCUUGUCCACGAAGUUGUUAUUUCAGCAGAUAUUGGAUGUGCAGAUUGUCAAAAGAAAAUUGCAGACAUGAUCUCCAGAAUGAAAUGAUACAGAUUCUGUUUUGGUAAAUGUGUUGGAGAAUAAGGUAACACUCACUUGCACAUACCCCAAGUCGGCUUCAGCCCAAGUUCCUGUUAUUUACAGGAACCCUGUCAGCACAAUGGCCAUCAUCAAGAAGUUCUUCAGAUCUUCCCGGCGAUGAUCGCCGAUCACGGACAUCCAAAAUGCAACGGAAUUCUUCGAGUUAUGAUAUUCUUGUUAAUAUACUUUUUGUUGUAAGAUGAUUUUGUUCCACUUUUUGUUAUCUCACUUGUACAUAGAAACACAGUGCAUUGUUGGAUGUAUUUGAAGUUACCAGCCAAUUUCAUUAUCUUUGCUAUACAUUUUCUUCAAAGUA